CCUACGGGUGGCAGCAGUGAGGAAUAUUGGUCAAUGGGCGGAAGCCUGAACCAGCCAAGUAGCGUGCGGGAUGAAGGCCCUACGGGUCGUAAACCGCUUUUGCACGGGGAUAACACCCUCCACUUGUGGAGGUCUGCAGGUACCGUGCGAAUAAGAGCAGGCUAAUUCCGUGCCAGCAGCCGCGGUAAUACGGAAGGCCCGAGCGUUAGCCGGAUUCAUAGGGCUUAAACGGAGCGUAGGCUGGCGUUCAAGUCAGCUGUAAAAUCGCGCGGCUCAACCGCGCCCCGCAGUUGAAACUGGACUGCUUGAGUUCACGACAGGCAGGCGGAAUUCGUGGUGUAGCGGUGAAAUGCAGAGAGAUCACGAGGAACCCCGAUUGCGAAGGCAGCCUGCCGGGGUGCGACUGACGCUGAGGCUCGAAGGUGCGGGUAUCAAACAGGAUUAGAUACCCUGGUAGUC
rnacentral:rRNA from 1 species